rnacentral:rRNA from 1 species
AGAGUUUGACUCUGGCUCAGGAUGAACGCUAGCGAUAGGCUUAACACAUGCAAGUCGAGGGGCAGCGAGAUGUAGCAAUACGUCGUCGGCGACCGGCGAAUGGGUGAGUAACACGUAUGCAACUUACCUCUUAGUGGUGAAUAACCCGAUGAAAGUCGGACUAAUACACCAUAUACUCCUUAGAUCCCAUGAGAAGAGGAGGAAAGAUUAAUCGCUAAGAGAUGGGCCUGCGUUCCAUUAGCUAGUUGGUAAGGUAACGGCUUACCAAGGCAACGAUGGAUAGGGGGACUGAGAGGUUGACCCCCCACAUUGACACUGAGAUACGGGUCAAACUCCUACGGGAGGCAGCAGUGAGGAAUAUUGGUCAAUGGGCGAGAGCCUGAACCAGCCAAGUCGCGUGAAGGAAGACUGCCCGCAAGGGUUGUAAACUUCUUUUGUAUGGGAUUAAAGUCACCUACGUGUAGGUGUUUGCAGUUACCAUACGAAUAAGCAUCGGCUAACUCCGUGCCAGCAGCCGCGGUAAUACGGAGGAUGCGAGCGUUAUCCGGAAUUAUUGGGUUUAAAGGGUGCGUAGGUUGCAAGGGAAGUCAGGGGUGAAAAGCUGUAGCUCAACUAUGGUCUUGCCUUUGAAACUCUCUAGCUAGAGUGUACUGGAGGUACGUGGAACGUGUGGUGUAGCGGUGAAAUGCAUAGAUAUCACACAGAACUCCGAUUGCGCAGGCAGCGUACUACAUUACAACUGACACUGAAGCACGAAAGCGUGGGUAUCCAACAGGAUUAGAUACCCUGGUAGUCCACGCAGUAAACGAUGAAUACUAGAUCUAUGCGAUAUACAGUAUGGGUCUAAGCGAAAGCGAUAAGUAUUCCACCUGGGGAGUACGCCGGCAACGGUGAAACUCAAAGAGAUUGGCGGGGGUCCGCACAAGCGGAGGAACAUGUGGUUUAAUUCGAUGAUACGCGAGGAACCUUA